CCUACGGGUGGCUGCAGUGAGGAAUAUUGGUCAAUGGGCGAGAGCCUGAACCAGCCAAGUCGCGUGAAGGAUGAAGGAUCUAUGGUUUGUAAACUUCUUUUAUAUGGGAAUACAGUGAGGAACGUGUUUCUUUUUGUAUGUACCAUAUGAAUAAGCAUCGGCUAACUCGGUGCCUUCAGCCGCGGUAAUACGGAGGAUGAGAGGGUUAUCGGGAUUUAUGGGGUUAAAGGGGUGAGUGGGGGGGCUGUUAGGUCAGCGGGAAAAGCCCGGGGUGAAACCCCGGCGAGCCGUUGAAACUGGCUGGCUUGAGUGGUCGAGAGGUAAGCGGAAUGCGCAGUGUAGCGGUGAAAUGCUUAGAUAUUGCGCAGAACUCCGGUGGCGAAGGCGGCAUACCGGAGGCUAUCUGACGCUGAGGCACGAAAGCGUGGGUAGCGAACAGGAUUAGAUACCCGGGUAGUC
rnacentral:rRNA from 1 species